AUUACUUGAGGGCAGAACAGGCAGCUGCCACGCCACUUUGUGGUCUUUCAAGAGAUGUAGGGGUGCCAACCUACCAAGUAAU
rnacentral:ncRNA from 1 species